rnacentral:rRNA from 1 species
GCUUACCAUGCAAGUCGCACGGGCAGCAAUGUCAGUGGCGGACGGGUGAGUAACGCGUAGGAACGUGUCCAGAGGUGGGGGAUAACGUUGGGAAACUGACGCUAAUACCGCAUAUGUCCUGAGGGACAAAGCAGUGAUGCGCCUUUGGAGUGGCCUGCGUAGGAUUAGCUUGUUGGUGGGGUAACGGCCUACCAAGGCUACAAUCCUUAGCUGGUCUGAGAGGACGAUCAGCCACAUUGGGACUGAGACACGGCCCAAACUCCUACGGGAGGCAGCAGUGGGGAAUAUUGGACAAUGGGGGCAACCCUGAUCCAGCAAUGCCGCGUGUGUGAAGAAGGUCUUCGGAUUGUAAAGCACUUUCGACGGGGACGAUGAUGACGGUACCCGUAAAAAAAGCCCCGGCUAACUUCGUGCCAGCAGCCGCGGUAAUACGAAGGGGGCUAGCGUUGCUCGGAAUGACUGGGCGUAAAGGGUGCGUAGGCGGCAAUGCAAGUCAAACGUGAAAUUCCCGGGCUUAACCUGGGGACUGCGUUUGAGACUGUAUGGCUAGAGGAUGGAAGAGGCUCGUGGAAUUCCCAGUGUAGAGGUGAAAUUCGUAGAUAUUGGGGAGAACACCGGUGGCGAAGGCGGCGAGCUGGUCCAUUACUGACGCUGAGGCACGAUAGCGUGGGGAGCAAACAGGAUUAGAUACCCUGGUAGUCCACGCCGUAAACGAUGUGU